UUAUUGUAAGGCGAUAAAAAGGCUCAUUAGAUGGAAAGGGCGUAAUGAAUUAAAUAAUUAACUACUUCCCUUAUGACCGCACUACAUGUAUAAAAAACAACGUGCCUGUUUUAUAGAUUAAUUAUCUAAUUGAAAAUACAUUGUGACUACGUUAAAAAAAGCAUACUACUAGGGGAUUACCUAAAAUGACUCUGCUCUCUUGAGGUAGGGCAUUUUUACAGGUAGUGAACAAAUAUAAGUCUUUGAGCCUCCACGUAGAACCAAGAAAUGCAAAUUUUCACUUCAGCGUCGGCUACUUCAAAGUUUGCAGCUUGUUCUCCCGCAUAGAGGUUAUAUGAGUCACACUUCUUUGUAGGUGUCGCAAAGAACCGUCUAGACAGCUUUAAAAAUGCUAUAUCGAGCAUUGAUAUCCAGCAGUGUUAAGAGCUCUGACAGAUUGGAAAAUUCGUAAGCUGGCUCCGGGGAAAGUCAGUUUACAUUCUGCAUGUUAGGAUCCAAAUAACUACUUGGAUGGUGAGGUGACAUUACGCAUCAAUCUUACUUUUGGCGCCAGUUAUGAUGGAGAAUAAGCAGAGAACAUUGUUUUAUGGAACCCAGGACUCGAGGACAUCAAGGAGAUGACUCCUUUGCAAAGAAUAUGGUUAUGGAAACAUCUGUGCAUCCUUCAAUCCAUUCAUCUAUCUCCUAAUGGCUGUGGGUUACGAUACCCCAAGGCCUCAGUCACAGUGAAGGGGGAACAACAGGAUCAGGAAGGGUCGUCUCUUCAAUAAGACGGAGCAUGUUAGUGUUUCAGCUUAGCCCCAGACCAGACAGUUUCGAAAAGCAAAGUAACAUGAGCUUUGGAAGUGAUAUUGCAUGGCAUUAUGGUAGGUUAAUCUAUAGUUUCUAAAAAAACAAAAGGACAAACGGCGAAGUGCAUUUACGCCUCUGCCUCUAGUCAUUAGUUUCUCAGAAACCAAAGGCAGCAACCAAAUAUUUACAAAGUAGUAGCAGUGUGCUCAGUCUUGAGAGCCUGAAUCUUCUCAAUAAAACACAAUAAAAGAGUUCAGUUUAAAGAAGCAAAAAUGAUUUAUUGAUUCCAGGGUGGGAUCGUGGUGCAGUGGUUAGCACUGUUGUCUGACACCUUUGGGACCCAGGUUCGAGUCUUCACCCGGGUCUCAUGUGUGUCGUGGGGUUUCCUCCAGGUACUCCGGUUUCCCCCCACGGUCCAAAAACAUGC